UGCGUAGGCGGUUUAUUAAGUCAGAUGUGAAAGCCCCGGGCUUAGCCUGGGAACUGCAUUUGAUACUGGUAGACUAGAGUAUGGUAGAGGGGGGUAGAAUUCCUAGUGUAGCGGUGAAAUGCGUAGAUAUUAGGAGGAAUACCAGUGGCGAAGGCGGCCCCCUGGACCAAUACUGACGCUGAGGUACGAAAGCGUGGGUAGCGAACA
rnacentral:rRNA from 1 species